AGUGAACGCUGGCGGUAGGCCUAACACAUGCAAGUCGAACGGCAGCACAGUAAGAGCUUGCUCUUACGGGUGGCGAGUGGCGGACGGGUGAGGAAUACAUCGGAAUCUACUUUUUCGUGGGGGAUAACGUAUGGAAACUUACGCUAAUACCGCAUACGACCUACGGGUGAAAGCAGGGGAUCUUCGGACCUUGCACGAUUGAAUGAGCCGAUGUCGGAUUAGCUAGUUGGCGGGGUAAAGGCCCACCAAGGCGACGAUCCGUAGCUGGUCUGAGAGGAUGAUCAGCCACACUGGAACUGAGACACGGUCCAGACUCCUACGGGAGGCAGCAGUGGGGAAUAUUGGACAAUGGGCGCAAGCCUGAUCCAGCCAUACCGCGUGGGUGAAGAAGGCCUUCGGGUUAUAAAGCCCUUUUGUUGGGAAAGAAAAGCAGCAGGUUAAUACCCCGCUGUUCUGACGGUACCCAAAGAAUAAGCACCGGCUAACUUCGUG
rnacentral:rRNA from 1 species